AGAUGACCUCGCAGAGCCGCGAGGUCGGUAAAAUAAAAAAAGCUCACUGAGA
ncrna:unclassified sequences 6A RNA